GUGAAACCGCGAAUGGCUCAUUAAAUCACACCUAAUGUACCGGAUAGUCUCAGUUACUUGGAUAACUGCGGUAAUUCUGGAGCUAAUACAUGCCAAAAAGCCCCGACUCACGGAGGGGCGCUUUUAUUAAAUCAAAACCAAACGGUCUCGUGCCGUUAACCUGGUGAUUCUGAAUAACUUUUUGCUGAUCGUAUGGCUCUACGCCGACGACGUAUCCGUCCAAGGUGUGCCCUAUCAACUGUCGACUGUGGCAUAGUCGCCCACAGUGGUUUUGACGGGUAACGGGGAAUUAGGGUUCGAUUCCGGAGAGGGAGCCUGAGAAACGGCUACCACUUCUAAGGAAGGCAGCAGGCACGCAAAUUACCCAAUGGUCGAAGACCGAGGUAGUGACGAAAAAUAACGAUACCGGUCUCUUCCGAGGCCCGGUAAUCGGAAUGAGUACACUUUAAAUCCUUUAACGAGGAACAAUUGGAGGGCAAGUCUGGUGCCAGCAGCCGCGGUAAUUCCAGCUCCAAUAGCGUAUAUUAAAGUUGUUGCGGUUAAAAAGCUCGUAGUUGGAUCUCGGCAGGUAGGGGGCGGUUCGUUAUUCGACGGUACUGCCCCAUUUACCUGUGUUUUUGACAGAGGAUUUGGGGUUCCCUUCGCUGGGUGUCCUAGGUCGCUGUCAGGUUUACUUUGAAAAAAUUAGAGUGCUCAAAGCAGGCUUUAAUGCUUGAAUAUUCGUGCAUGGAAUAAUAGAAUAGGAAGUCGUUUCUAUUUUGUUGGUUUUCGGAAAUUGACUUAAUGAUUAAUAGGGACAAUUGGGGGCAUCAGUAUUCAGACGACAGAGGUGAAAUUCUUGGACCGUCUGAAGACUAACUACUGCGAAAGCAUUUGCCAAGAGUGUUUUCAUUAAUCAAGAACGAAAGUUAGAGGUUCGAAGGCGAUCAGAUACCGCCCUAGUUCUAACCAUAAACGAUGCCAGCUAGCGAUCCGCAGGUGUUGCAUAUUAAAACCCCGCGGGGAGCUCCCGGGAAACCAAAGCUUGUGGGUUCCGGGGGAAGU
rnacentral:rRNA from 1 species